GAUUUACAUAAAAAAAUUAAAAGAAAAGCGGAUAGUGAAUGAUAUAUAACAUAACAACAAAAGGAAUAGCUUAAUAUAUACUGAUAAUAAUCAUAAGUCUCCAAAAUAACAAACAUAAAUCAAAUCAUAUCAUCACAUCUCCGUGAGCUACAAAGCAUAACUGAUAACUCUCUCUCAUUAUAAAAUUUAUAUGUAAUAAGACUCACUCCCUAAAAGACUAAAAACCCAGUGGAUCCGCCGCUACUAAGCCCACAUAACGUCUAAACAACGCAAAAAAAGAAAAAAAAAUGAAGAAACCACUCUACACACCCAAUAAGCUAGUGACACGUAAUCAGAUAGAGAACCGGCCUCUUAAACCCUGAGAACUGAGCCGAACACCAGAGCGGAAAGGAGAGCGACACCAGCGGCGGCUAAGGAAGGCGAGAUCGAGCCGGCUCCGGAAGCGGGAGCUGGAGCGGGAGAGAGAUCUUGAGCCGACCCUGCGAGAACCAAGGCGGCCAGGACAACGGCCAUCAUCAGCGUAGCCAUUGAAGCCUUUGAGAAUGCCAUUAUUGAAGCCUUUUUUUCUCAGGGUUUUUGAGAGCGUAACCGAAGGAAGCUGAGAGAGAUUCUUUUUCCUGUGUCUGUAUGUGGGAAGUGUUAGUAUUUAAGACAUGAGAAGAAAAUAGUGAGGUUUAUUUAUAGACUGAAAAGUGUGGACGGGAAGAGAGAAUUUCGGGCAGCGGCCCGGAUUUUUCCAGUCUGUCUAUUGGUUUCUUGACAGCUAUGUUUAUUUGUGGGGCCCAGUUAAUUAUAAUUUCACGCGACCGUUUAGGGUAUCGAACGGCGAAGCGACGUCGUGUCGGUUCACGAGUGUGACUUACGCCGAGGAAAUAAUUGAUUCUUUGGGAUUGGGAAAAAUUUGAGCAAAGUAAAAUUACGGAAACAGCAGCGAAUUAUAAUAUCGCAGUCUGUGAUAAACUUGAUAACUAUCUACUUGAAUUGAUAGGACAUAUAAAAAGAACAUUGUAUUAUUUAAAGGAUUGAAUAAUUUAAUUGAUAAAAAUCUCUUACCGCUAAGUUUGGAGAUCCAUUUGCACUCAAAUUUGGUGGAGGAAAAUUUUGAUUUCAGUUGUGUUAUGUUAUUAACAAAAAUUAUUGUUCAAAAAAUGCCUUUUUGUAGCUGCAAUAAAUGAGAAAAUUUUAAAGUACUUUUUUUUUAUUAUUUAUAUAAAUUGAACGAAAUCUUGGUGUGAUUAUUUUGUAAAUUCUCGAGAACUUUUGGGGUGGGGUGGGGGAUUUUGUGUAUGAAUGUAUGAUGAGUUCAUUGAAGAGGCGAAUGUUUAAUGGUGGGAUUGAUGAUUAGGGAUCAGUGAUGGUGCAGUUGAUUCCGCUACAAAGAUUUUUGUAAGCGCCCACAGACAGCCCACGUGGGAUGCGGUGGCUCGACCAUUAGGAGGAGGACGCGUGGAGACGUGGAAGGGCACGGGCUUUUUUAAUAUUCGAAUUUUGAAUUUGAAUAAUCGGAUGUGGACCUGUGGACAGUAUGAAAUGAUCGUGAAUUUUGUGGGUUUCCAGAACUUUCCGUUUGGCGUGUGCGACUGUGUGUUCAUUGGCAGGCACAUGUAGGAGUGUUACGAAGUUUACGCGUUAAACGUAUGCGGAAAGAAAAUGGUUUAACUUUGGGUAAAUGUUUAAAAAAGGAAAUUUCAAUCAACGCUUCUUCUUCUUCUUCUUUUUUUUUUUUUUAUUCCAUAAAAGAAGAUCUUUAAUUUCUGUAAUUAUAUCAUAAUUGAGUCCAAGAAGAUCUGGCUGCAUUGUUGUAAUUUUAUUUAGUUAACCAUAUAAAUUUGAGUCCCGAAGUUAAAAACUUAAUUUUAAUUUUAACUGCUCUUCCAUCUUCUUUUUGUUUUUGUUUUUGUUUUUAAAUGAUCAUGAAACACCUCUUCUCAUUAAUUAAUGUAGAAAAAAAAAGGUUUCAACCACUCCUACGUAUAUUAGCAUGAUUUCUUUUUUAAAUAUUAUUUGAUUGGUAUCAUUGCAAAGUUAAUUUAGAUUCAGUAGUUUAUUUUGGCUAAAACAUCAUAUAUUUAAGAUGCAUCAUCAGAAAAUUGAUUUAGAGUCACCUAAUUUUGAGCUCAAAUAUUAUAUAUUUGCACUCACAAUCAUAUAAUUGGUUUAGAUUUAAUCUGUUUUAAGCUCAAAUAUGUAGCUAUCACAUAAAUAAUUUAGAAUGUUACAAUAUUCUAAGGGCGUGGUCGGGUUAAUUAUAGUGCAGUUGUAGCCUCUACCAAAAUCCGGGUUCGAUUCUUAGAGAUCAAGAUUAUGUUUAGGCUCGCCCACCUCCUCUUACUUUAAAAAAAAAAAAUUUAGAAGGUUACUAAUAUUUUUUUAAUUAUAAAUAUCAAUAUAUAUUGUAAUGUAAUAUUCUUUUUUUUUUUAAAAAAAAAAGGUCAGGUAGAAUUGAUCUCCCUCAUACCAAAUUUUGUAAAAAAUAAUUUAGGUUAUGCCGAUUCAUAAGAUGAGGGGUUCAUAUAGUUUAGUUCAGUUGAUAAUUUUUUUUUUUUGGUUGAAAAAAGAGAUAUGAGAUUUAAAAUCAGUUUAGGUGAGCAAGGACGGUUUUGGGUUGUCACCGAGCUAAAUUAAAAAGGAUUAAUGAGAUGAGACGAGUGGUUUGUUAAAAAGAAUAGUGCCACAUAUUAUAAAGUUUGUGUCAAAAAAAUUCAUCCUAUAAAAGAAGAGACACUCCUAAUAGGCAUGAAAAAAAAUACAAUAAAUCGUUUUAAAACAUAACUGUGACUAGAACAUCCCCUUGUGAAGAUAUAUUUUUUAUUUUUUUAAAAAAAAUUAUUUAAAUAUCUCUAAUGUUCAUGCAACAAAUACGAUGAAUAGUCACAAGGGCAGUCUAGAAAAAGGCAUUUACAAAUACACGGCGGGCCAACAAAGAAUCAUUCACCUUCUAAUCCUUCGAUGUCUGCUUGCAACUCAACUAAACUAACAGCAUUCCAAAAUCAGCAAGAAAACGAUUUAAGAACUUAUUUUGGAAUGCUAUUAGUUUUUAAGGAUUAAUGAGAUGAGAUGAGUGGUUUAUUAAAAAGAGUAGUACCACCUACUGUAAAGUUUAUGUCAAAAAAAUCCAUCCAAUAAAAGAAGAGACACUCGUAAUAUGCAUUAAAAAAAAACACACAAUAAAUCAUUUUAAAACAUAACGUGAAUCAAACAUCACCUUAUGAAGAUAUAUAUAUUUAAAUAUCUCAAAUGUUCAUGCAACAAAUGCGAUGAAUAGUCACGAGGGCGGUCGAGAAAAUGCGUUGACAAUUACACGACCGGCCAACAAAAAAAUCAUUCACCUUCUAAUCCUUCAGUGUCUGCUUGCAACUCAACUAAACUGAUAGCAAUUAGCAUACCAAAAUAAGCCAAAAAAAAAAAAAAAAAAGAUUUAAGAAUCUUAUUAUUUUACUCGUUAAUAUUGCUAAGCAUAUGGCAGCCCUGGGCGGCUGUGGAGUGCAGCCUGGCGUUGGAUUUGCUCACAGACAGGACCUGUAAGGCUGAAACAACACGGCAGCAACAAAGAAAGUAGUUUUAUUUACGUAAUACAAUUUUUUAUACCUUUAUUUUUUAUCUGCAUGAUUUAGUUCUUACACAGACGUGCUAACGAGAAUCAUCCAGUAGCUGGUGUCACUUGUCAACUACUCCUUAACUUAAAGAGCAUAUUUGGGAUUGUCAAGUAUUCCCAAAUUAGUGAUUAUUUGAGAAUUUGUUAUCACAUAUGGUUGGUUCGAGUUAUUCUCUCAGACAUAUCACACCAAUAAUCAUCAAAUAAGUGAGAAUCAAACAAAAUUUGAAAGCAAAUUCUCAAGUAAUUGGUUAGAUUGUAUGAAAAUUUGACUUGUGAAUAUCAAGUAACCUCAGAAUUAGAAUGACUGUAAUGUAUACAUUGGCAUUUACUAUUUACUAAUCACCAAUCAUAGCUUUCUAUUUGGCUCAAUGGCUGAGUGCAAAUCCAGAUGAGCAUGAAAUUCAAAUCAACUCAAAAACCGUUAGAGAAAACAAAAUAUCUUUGAAGUAGUUAUCACUUCAUUAUUAUCAGUAGGAUGAAAAUGAUCGAAGUUAAAAACGUCCAAAAUUAUUAAAUUCAUUUAUCUAACCUGAAUAAUGGACACAUAUACCACGUUGGCUGUCAUUCCUCUGUACAUACAAGAAUCUCACUGUAUCAUCAAAGAGGCUAAUCCUAUGUAACAGUCCUCUCAAUUCGUAUUAUGCAACACGUCUAUCCGAAAAGCUCCUAAUCAUCUUUCUUCCUCGGCUAUUACCAUUCAUUCAAAAGUCAACUCAAAAGGUAGACAAAUUUAUUUGUUAAAAGCCCAAAACUUUAGAUGAUAUAUUCAUCAGAGGUUGUAAAGCACUCGGUGCAAAUUUUCUUCCAAAGAGAAAGCAAACUGUAGAGGGCUGGUUAUUGUAUUUGCAAUGCUGACCUCCAUAAACUUUCUUGAAAAACUCCUCUGUUAUGUCGGCUCUUCCGAAUGUGGCUGGAUGAGCACCACCUCUCGACCAAUCAACCCAAGUGCUGCUUCUAUUUGCCAAGAGAUUUGGCAUUUGAAUAGAUAGCAUGGUGGGAAAAUAGUGUUCGUCCACAUAACAAGGUGGUCUACAGAAUUCCGCGAAUUUUGGAUAAUAUGUAGUAUCUUCCACAAUGUUGACUGCAAGCCUUCGGUUGAUUUCAAACCAUUGGGAUCCUUUGCGCCACUGGGUAAUGUUCACCACAGGUGCCAUGUUCGCAUUGUAGCGUCCUCUCCCAUAUGGUCCAGGGUCAUCAAAUGAACCCAUGAAACUAUGUUUGGAUUUCUUUAUGUAAUGGUAGAUGAGGGAGAAAUUAUAAAGAGGAAUGCAAGACUCAGAGACAAGAAUGAACCAUUCAUUGGAGAUAUCAAGCAAUGCAUUAGCAAGGAGUCUUCUCUCAGCAUCGCACAUGCUCAUUUUUCCCCAUUCAGAGAUCUGCAAAGGGAAGAUACAGAAGACAUUACAAUCUCCUCUAAAUUUUGGGAAAUAUUGUAUUCAAAGCUAUGUGCUAAAGUAAAUAGAAUAAGCAGAUAAAGCAUAACCAUCAAAGGCUUUCAGAAGAAUGCAAGACAGUUCCACUACCAAACACUUCACCUAGAACAUGUAAUGAUAACAUUUGGUAAAGGUAAUCAUAAAACCUGUUAUUUUCCAGGAUCAAAGGGUAUCAAGUAUCAAUUUUACAUUUGGGACAGGAUUAUGGUAGCUGCUUGUUGUUGAAAUGGCACUGUAGCAGAGCUAACCAAAUCAGAUCUCCAUUUCUUGGAGGAUUUGUAUCCUGUUCCAGUUACUACAAGGGGGCAACUCAAGAACAUACAUGUCUUCCUACUUGUCCAAUACAAAAACGUAGGGAGAAAAAAAAAAUCAAAUAAAACGCACUUCGUCGAGCCAAUAUACAUACAGACAGCUCAACCCUCCCCCUUGGUGUUUUGGGAUCCAAAAUUUUUCACCUCCACACGAUAUAUGGCAGUGGUUACCAGCCUUAGAUAAACUUACACUGUUGCAGUUCCCAACUUUCAAAAUUCAACCCAAAAAAUGACCGACUCUUAUUGUUGAUCAUUCACUCAAACCCAGUUUUGCUGGUGAAAGUUAUAAUGUAUGCCAUCAAAUUAAUUAGAAAAUGUUUGCCAAGUAACAUUCAAGAAUGCCACCAUGUCAUCUAUGGAUUGUCCGCUCCUGCUAGAUUCCUCGCAAUUUCUCAUGGACUCCAAUAAUCCGUAAGGCAAUCAGGGGAAAAAAAAAGGAGCAAAAUUUUAACUUGGCUAAGCAAAAACAGAAUAUAUUUAGUUUAUAAACAGAAUCUGUUAAUCAGCAUAUUCCUAUUCAACAGAGUAUUUCUAGACUUUGAUCGUGAAUCACCAUGCAUAUAAAAGUGAUGAUGCUAAAUGGGAACACUACUUUCUACUUUCAAACACCAAGAGCCUACAGAUGACUGAGAGGUCCUAAGAACUGAAGAUUGUUAAACAAAAUUCGGAAAGCUAUGCAAGCAUGCUAACACUAUAUAGAUCCUCAAAAGAAUAAUUCACAUUAUAGGUAAAAAAUAAAGUACUGCUCAUCAUCACUCAAGAGAAGAAGAUCAUAACUUACAUCGUCAUAUAAUCAAUAGUACAACAAAGAUGAUCAGAUGAAGUUUCCACCAGAAUUUUAAAUGAAUAAAUAAAACCUGCAAUAGAUAGAUAUAAUGUCAGGCAUACCUGACUUGGGAUUUGUCUGUUGUAAAAAACUGAUGAAGAUGGAAACUUGUUCUCGAAUGUUGGCAGAGAAUGAACAUAGAUAGAAUAUAGCCCUUCAUGCCCCUUGAAAAACUUCUCCCAAAGAGGUCCAAGAGGUAAUGGCCCCUUCGUCAAGAACAUAAAUGCAAUCUUUGGAACUCUCUUAAAGGGAUACUCCUUCACUCGAGGCACAAAUGAGGCCCUCCAAAAAAGCUCCUUAUCACUCAUUGUGUGCAUUAAAUUUGAUGGAGGAUUUAUCCAAUAAUCCAAACCAUUCGGUAGUUCAGGGCAUGCCACAAAACUGGACUUAACCGUUGUCACAACACUCUGGACUCCAAACCGACGAACUGAGUAUAUACUAAUCAACGAAAAGGCUAUACACAGAGCCAGAAACAAACCAAAUAACUGAAAUAAUCUCAGUGGCAAGGCCCUAAAUUGAUUUGUCUUGUUAACAACUGCAGGGUCUUUGCCUUCCUCUAGCGGAACAACCCUUGCUUGCAUCUUUAUAACUCUAAAUCAAAUCAAAAUUUCACCUUCUGCGUCAGAUCCAAAUCAACAUCCUAGCAUCAAAAGCACUACUAAGCCUCAAAAUACCAGCUAAUUUAUUCACCAGAGCUAGCAAAAAAAACAGCUUUUUUUAAAUAUUUGAAAUUUGUGGAAUUCAAUAUGUUUCAGCAAAACAACCCCACUUAGCAACAGUAACGAAAUUAGAUCUAGAGCUGACACUACAGUACUCAAAAAGCAAGUAUUAACAGAUAUAGCACAAUCAUCAGCUUUCACAGCACAUGGGUUUCUUGAAUAAGAAGCUCUUAGCAAAAAUCAAAAGUCCAGAUCGGACUACUUGAUAGUCUAUAGAUCAAACGAAACCAUUAACGUGAUUGGUGGGGUGAUGAAAAACAGUACACGAUGGUGAACGUUCAACAUACCAUGUAAAUUUGUUGGGGCUAUAUGAGGAAACAAAGUUUGAAGCUUUAGCUCGAAUUGCGCCACCAAAGAAGAGAAACAGAACGGUCAAAUAAAUGAACAAAGUUAGGCAAAGAAAAUAAGAGGAGAAAAAGAGAAAAGUCCUUGGGACGCCCAAAGAGAGAGAGAAAAGGAGGUCCAAGAAAGUGGGGAAUCAAGGAAAUUUUGAGUGUGUGUGUAUGUAUGUAUAUAUAUAUAUAUAUAUAUAUAUAUAUAUAUAUAUAUAUAUAUAUAUAUAUAUAUAUAUGGGACUUUGAAUUUGAGGAAAUCACAGAAUUGUAAUUAGGUGAAUUGUGAAAUGUGGAGAAUUCAAAGAAUGUUUUUUGAUUUAACACGUACAGUGGAAGUGUCUGCUUCGUCUUUUGUGGGUUAGCCGUCACCAUGUGAGAGGCGGUUUUUGCAAGGUAAUAAUACGGCAAUGUCUUGCUGUCAUUUUGUAACGUUUUGGAAAACAAAUUUACCCUGAUUCAUUUGCCUUGAUAGAUCCUUUUUUUUUUUUAACCUUUUUUUUUAUAACUUGAAAUAGAAUGAAAUUAGUCAAAAUUUAAAUUUGAAUGAUAUGUAAAUUUUUUUAAAAUUUUUAAAAAUAAAUAUUAAAUUAUUUGUUUUUUAAUUUUAAAAAACUGACAGCCUAUACUUUUACAUUUUUACCCUUACUAAAUUUAAAUGUUGAAUAAAUAAUAUAUUUUUAAAAGAACUUAAAUAUGAUAAUAACAUUAUCUUUUUUUUUAAAAAAGGAUAAUAACAUUAUCUAAAUCAUCUUCAAGUAAAUGAUUUAUGAAAUCAUUCACUUGGCAUAGGGUUGUUCUAACUUAACCAAUGUUUUUUAUUCGAAUCUUGAAAAUGCAGUUGCGUUAAAUACUUAUUGGAAGAGCUUUGACGCCCUAGUGGUCUUACCCAGCUCGAAUUUGAAUUAGUCGAGACCUAAUGUAGUUUCGGAUACCAAAUAGUUUAAUACACGAAAAAAAAAAUUUAUAAAAUUAUAAUAUAAAAAGUUCUUUAAAAUUAUCACAAGUUCACAAUGCUAGUGCGUAAUAUAAGAAAAAACUAACAAGAUACUUGGGAAGUAAAAAAAAAGAAAGAAAAAACUGAACAAAAAUUCUACAAGAAAAGACUGUCAAUGGAAUCAAUUAUGGACUAUCAAAGGCCAUAAAGGAGAUUCAAGAAAUCCUUCGCGUGAAUGUUGUGUCUCAUCAUGAAAAGUAUCUUGCCUUGCCAUCUAUGGUAGGGAAAAACAAAAGACAAUUCUUCAAGUCGAUCAAGCUUCGAGUGCUCAACAAAUUAAAAGGAUGGAAGGCCAGGCUCUUCUCAAGCGGUGGGAAGGAAGUAUUGUUAAAGGCUGUCAUUCAAGCCACUCCUGUUUAUGCUAUGGGCGUUUUCAAGUUGCCAAAAUGCUUAUGCGAGGACCUACAGCGUUGCAUCACAAAUUGUUGGUCGGCCAACUAUGAUGACUCUAAAUGCAUUCACUGGCUUUCUUGGAAGAAUCUUUGCAAGCCAAGGAAGGACGGGGGGCAUGAGAUUUAGAUAUUUAGGUCCUGUUUGUGAUUGAAGUAUGCUGUUAAAAAAAAUUAUAGUUAUAUUAUAAAAAUUAAUAAUAUGUAGUAAAUAUAAAUUUUAAAUAAUAAUUUUGACAAAAUUAUUAAAGAUAUAAUAGAUUUUAUAUUAUACAAGUGAAAAAUCAUAUCAAUCUAAUUUUUAACUUAUAGCAGUUAGUAUUUACUGAACACUUUAGUGCUGUAGCUUAACCUCAAUCUCAAACGCGCUCUUAAGUUCCUUUAAUUAAGCGCUCUUGGCCAAGCAAUGUUGGGGAAUACUACAAGCACCUGAGUCUCUUUUGGCCAAAGUUCUUAAAGCUAGGUACUUUUCCAACACAAACUUCCUAAGUAGCAAAAUCAAAAGCGGCUCAUCUUUUGUAUGGAAGAGUACUCUAUGGGGCCGUGAAGCUAUCAACACUGGCUCAAGAUGGAGGGUUGGCGCUGGUAGGAGCAUAUUUAUUUAUAGAGAUAAUUGGAUGCCAAGUCCAUUAUCUUUUAAACCUAUAUCCCUGAAGACAUGCAUUGCCGAGUGAUUCUAAAGUUUCAGACCUGUUAAUAAAUGGUAACGAAUGGAAUGAGCAGCUAAUAAAGUAAUUCUUAAAAGGAGUCCCCUUGCCACGAGUCCCUACUAAUGACAUUUUAGUGUGGCGUUAUGAAAAAAAGGAGGAUUUUACACAGUUAAGAGUGGUUAUCAAGUGUCCCUUAUUCUCACUCAUCCUAAUUCCCCUUCAAGUUCAUUUGGCUCCGCUAAUUGGUGGUAUCCCUCUUGGCUUUUAACCAUUCCAUCUAAAGUCAAGAUCUUUUUCUGAAGAGCUCUACGCAAUAUACUCCCUACAUCAAAUAAUCUUUUUCAACGAAGGGUAGUGGAUUCCCCACAUUGUCAACGAUGUUACAGUGCUGUUGAGGACACCUUUCAUGUGCUAGUUAGCUGUAAGUUUGCGAUGAAGGUGUGGAAGUUGUCAACUAUGGCUGCUCACGUCACGAAUAGCCCUAAUAUGGAUUUUGCAUUUUUUUUGCUAAGAAUUUGGAAUCUUCGCUGUCAAAAGAGGACUACUAAUCUUUUGUGAUGAUUGCAUGGUCUAUUUGGCACUCUAGGAACAUAGCGCUCUAUCAACAUCAGAUGAUGGAUCCACAAAAUAUUCUUUGUGGCUGAAGCUGUUUUGAAUUCGACACUGCUACUCAAGGCUCCCCAAUUCAAGAGCUAUCGGUCUGUCCAACCGAGACGGAUGUUGGUUGGAUUCCACCAGAGACUCAUUGGUACAAAAUGAACGUUGAUGCAAACACUGACAUCUCUAAUGGAAUUACAAGUUUGGGUGCAAUAAAAAGAAAUUCCAAGGGAGAUUUCAUGGCUGCCUCAGCUCGCAAGAAAUCUUUUCUUGGUGACGUUGAGAUUACAGAUGCUGAGGUUGUCCUACAAUGCAUCAAGCUGGCGACAGAUUCGGACUUCUCUCCCUUGAUUGUCGAAUCUGACUCGGCAAAUGUUGUUCUUGUUGCAAAAAUAGUAUAUCGAUAUGCUACUUCGAUGGCACAUUUUGAGUGGGUUCCACGUAGCGAAUGUGGAAAAUCUUGUGAGGUUUGGAUUCUACUCCAUGAAAACUUCGAAAGUGUAUAUUUAUGUACUUAAAAUGGUGCUUGGCUGAAUGACAAAUUGUCUCUCAAAGUGCACUCUUGAAGUUGAAAAUUUGAAAGGAAAUGAGUUUUAUCCCACAAGGGAAAAUAAGUCAAGGGAUUUGUGUUUAUAUAUACACUUACCCAUGCAUGAGUAAGAAUUAUAAGGAUAGAGGUUUUCUCCACACGCGCAUGCGCCGGGGGAGGGGGUGUUGUAAAUUCUAGACUUAUUUGGUUAAAUUUGUGUGCGUCCGUGCGUCCUGCGCACGCGAAUAUCAGUCCAAAAUCACCCAAACUUGCAUGUCAAACAAGUUUUUAGAAAUUGUAAUACGCCCAUUAAUUAGCGAAAUUGACACUCUCUGUUAUUAACGAUCUUUGUUUGGUUGGAAGACCCUCUCGCAGACAUUGUGGUACACAUGUAAACUUUGUAUUUGUCCAGCAAGGAAAUGUUUUAAAAAAAAUAAAAAUUGUCGACUAUCAAAGGAACCGAUUCACUCUUAAACUUACAGUACACAAUAUUACAUGCCAAAUUAUGACUAAUUAUGCCUAAUGCAUUAAUAUCCUUUCACAACGGUGAAAUCUGAAGGCCCAAAAAUAUUGUCACUUGUUCAAGCCAAAAUAUUGAGGCCAGAUAAGCACCCUAAGGUCAAUAAAUAAUUAACGAAAUCAUACUAGCUUUCUAAUAAAAUCUAUCGAAAGUAAUAUAAAUUGAAAAAUGAUGGAGCACUUUUUAACCCUAAAGGCCUAAACUCAAAUUCACACCUUUAAGAAUGAAUUAAAAUCUAAUUAAAAAAAAGAUUUUAUAAAAAAAGAUUAUAUAAGGAUGAGUUUAUUAGUUGUACAUGGGUGACUUUUUUGAUAAAUAUAGAAAAUAAAUAAUUAAAUAGAGAUAUUUUUGACAUUAGAAUUUUAGUCGGUUUAUGCAGAAUUUUUAAUUUAGUAAAACGUAAAAAAAGAGGCUUAUUUUAUUCCAUCAAAAUUAUCUAAAAACCUCAUUAAAUCAUAAAAAUAACCAUCUUUAAUUGACUUAAUUAAUUAAGUUGUCAUUUAAUUAGAAAAAGAUACACCCCUUAGUUUUUAAUUCAAUUCGUAAUUAAACAGGAUACGUCUCUGUCAUUUGUGCACAAUUAAUAACAAUGCUUAUCCAGAAUCCUUUUAAUCGGCCUUUAAAUUGAAUAAGAAGAUGUUUGGAAGAAUUUUUUUAUCUCUAUCAUAAAUUGUGAGCAAGAAGAGAGGGCAUAUAACAACUAAGAGAAAAUAAGUACAAAGCACGAAAACCAGCUCUGCACUUUUUUCUAGUUCUUUCAGAUUCUGCACUCCGUUUAUUCCCCUCCCAUGUCAUGAAGAGAUGGGUCUUUUUCUCUUCUUCUUUUUUUUUUUUUUCCUAAUAUAAUUUCUAAAAGAAUUUAUGAACAAACAGGUAUUUAUAUGCACAAUUAAUCACGAGUCGCACAAACCAGUGAUUCCUGGCCACGAUCGUGCGAUAUUACGACAUUGCUGAUUUUUUUUCUUUUCUUUUCGUUGUGAGUAAUUAACAUAUAGGGCCCACCAACCACUGCAUCCCGAGAUUGCGUGCCAAAAUCAUGUAAAUUGAUUUUGGAAGUUUCGGAGCUAAGUACGCGUAGCAUUAUUACUGGAGAACAUUCAGCCUUCAAUGCUACGAGAAUUCUCGGGUUGUUGCACAUUGAUUUUGGAAGGUUGGUGCGCAGAAUGCCAUAGAAAAAGCUCACGCAACUCAGGUAAUUAUUUUUCCACGUGGCAGCUACAUGGAAAAUGAACGGGCACAGACUCCUAAAGUGCCACUAAAAUACAGUCGUAAUAGAUUAUACAAGCAAACGAAAGUUUUAAGAAAAAUGAAGUAUCAUUUCCGCAGCCCCUGCACAGAUUAGGGGAACUGCAAAGACAUGCUUUGACAAGAACAAAUCUCGAUUUCAAUCAUUCAGAAUAUUGACAUGCUGCACAAGAAAUUGAAUUCAUAUAUUUUCUGACCAAUGGUGAGUUGCAUCCCAUGGAUGCACUCCAUCAGCAGAACUGUCAACACACCAUGAUAUUUGUAUCCAGAAGACAAACUUUCCUAAAAAACACAACAUCAUUUAGCGAGCCAUUAAUCAGUUGACUGCUGUUAUGACAGCACUUUAUGCACGUAAUCAGAAGUAGACAUAUUUCGUCAAGCAACUCCCAUACAUUGCAUACUACAUGUAAUCCAGUCAAAUGUUUCUACCUCAUUCACAAGGAACAGUUAGGGCGUAUGUACCAAGAGAAGAGCUUUACUUCAGUGCUUCACCACUUCAAACUUGAAGCGGAGGUUGGAAAUCAUAACCGGGCACUCUCCUUUCUCAUCGUACUCGGCAUAGUCCCCUCCUGACAAGUCAAUGUCUUCAUACUGAGUCCCAGCAAGCUACACAAACAACUUACAGUUAGUUCGACAAAGCAAAACCAGAACAAAUAGAAUUUCUUUUUUUGGGGUCAUAGAGAAUUUUUCCUCAUAUUAAUCUCAGAUUAACGAGAUUAAUUUGACUCAUCAUCAUCGCACAAAUAAAAGAUGGCUUUAGUAACAACAAAUGUCUAUGAGGAUAGAAGCAAAAUGUGCAACAAGAAAAAGCAUCAACAGUAAUUAGAAGAAGAUAUAUUGAUGAUGAAUCUUCUUAGCUGCGGCAAAACAUUAACCCAAAAAGUACCAAGUGCAUUUACAGCUGUCUGCAUGGGAAUGAGAUAGUUAGGAGCACAGUAGAAAAAGAGGAGAAACAUGUGUAAUGCAUUCGCCUGUUCUUAUCGAAUGAAUGCAAGUUACACUUCAUCCAGCUCAUCUUUAAUACAGUUAGUAAGCAAAUAGAAUCUUCAAACAAGGUUUCCAUUCCAAAGUCUGCCCACCCUUCGCCAUUCAAGUCAAGAGUAAGCCGAUAGGAGACUGAGAGAGCAAAAAUCUAUUGUCAUGCUCUCCACCUAAAUAGAGAGGCAGAAACCAUAAAGGCUAAACUAGAGCAAAUAAUCAAACAAUAUGCUAACACAUUAAAGAAAAAGCUGGAAAGAAUUUGUAAACUAAAGAGCUCAAUGUUGAAAAUAUUCACAACCGUGAAAUGCAUAAAAAAGGAUAAGAUGUAUCUUAAAUGAAGAUGGUCAUGCAUAAUCAUAAAUACGAACACUCAACUUGCGCUCUGAUAACACAAUGCAGUGCUCACAAGUCAUUUCCAUCCACCACUUGAAAUAUGUCUAAUGUUUAGUGUUCAAAAACUAUGGGGAAAGGGCAAGAAUAGAAACUUACAGAUUCAACUUUCCAUCCAACACCAAAGACGAAAUCCACAGGCUCAUAACCCCUGCAGUCGAAUAACAUCAAGGGGCUAAAACCCCCAGAUUGAGCAGCUUCCUGGGUCAGUGGUUUACCCCGGCCUGGGAUCAUAGUAACAGUUCCUUCUCUCCCACAAAAUUUGCACUGUGAAGAAAGAUAUGGAGCCAGAAAAUCACCAACAACCAGAACACAGUCAUUUUAUAAAUAGAGUGAAAAAGUUUCAUCUGUAAUAUGUCACAGCAACACUUGAAAAUACAGACAAUAUGUCACGGUCAUUUAUACUACAAGUCUCUAACAGAUUAAUCUACCCAAGAAACUUGAAAAUAUGCAAGAAAUCCAUAGUACCAGAUCCUCAUUCCCACACCUUCAAAGUAAUUACUCAAGCUCAACCAAAGAAACUUAAUAAUUCUUUUUCCAUUCUAAAUCCAAGGCAUCAAAAAGCAUAUAUAGGUCAUUGAACAGAAAAAAAAUACAAUUUAUACUAGAAGUCCCAAGAAAAACUAUAUCUUGAAAGCUUGUCGCAUGCAAGCAAUUUUUACAAGAUAUCAAAAGAGCUGAAGAAUUACAUUCAAAUCAUAAAAAGAAAAGCUCUGAAGUUCACAAAGAAUCAUGAGGAUACAUUAUAGAGUUAUGUUCUAUCAUGAUUCCAUGAACUCGUUCACAACAACAGUAACAGAAAGGCCUUGGUUUUAAGUCCAAGAAAUUGAUUUGUUACACUAUGCUACUGCUAAACAUCUCCAGUUUGACUACAAACAAUAAUAUACAUCUAAGCUCAAAUGGCACCAAUUUUAACUAGCUUGAUGAAUAUAUAUAUUCAAUUAGGGAUCUCUGGUUGUAUUAAAGUUGGGAAUAAGCUAACAGACAAAAAAAAAACAGACUCCAGUGCAGUGUAUUUUGUUCCGUAUUGUGUUGAAAUUUGUGUUUUCUGUCAUUUAACUUAUCCCUAACGUUAAUAUGAUCAGGGAUCCCUGAUAGAAAACUCUCUCUCUCUCUCUCUCUCUCUCUCUCUAUAUAUAUAUAUAUAUAUAUAUAGAUAUAUGUGUGUGUGUGCGCGCGCAAUAGUGAUGUACUGCAACCUAUUUUAAUCUCCACUGCAAGUGUAUAUUACUUGAAACAAUUUACAUUAGCAAUAUCUGGUACAAGUAUCAUGACUACAGACCAUCUAAUUGCAUCAUUUAUCUAAAGAUAAAUGAUUAAAUGAAAUAUGUAACUUCACUAAACUAAGCCUGAGGUACCAGUAUAACAGCUUUUCCUUCACAGUUUGAUCAUUUGGUUAGAGCAUAUAUCUAUUUAAAGUCCUCGCAAUAAGACAAACAAGAUCACUCACAUUUUAAUACAUACACAAAGAGAGGAAGAGAGAGAGGUAUUACUUUUUGAAUGAGAUUUGUGGUUCCCUUGCCUCCUUGAGUAGGAAGAGUUUCAGCCAAGCUC
rnacentral:lncRNA from 1 species